GCAGGCAGAGUUGACAAUGGGAGUUAAUCCAAAGAGUGCUGGAGAGUGUUGCAAUGAGAGUGAAAGAAUAUGGCAAAGAAAGCAUGAGCGGUCUGAUUGCUGAUUUGAGGGUGGUGUGACUCACUGGCAGAGUGGAACAGUGGAGAGGAGAAUGGAAAAACACUGCAGGUACACAGCCAUACUGGCUCUGCUUAACUGGCCUCACCAACGCCAUGGAACAAGUGACAAUUACCUCCAGUGCCUGUACCCCACAAGUGUCAUCACAGACGUGUACCAGUAAUGAUGUCACAGUGUCACGACAUAAUCGUAUCAAUGUUGACUGGACCCAGAAGCAGACGGAGGC